UGAGACCGGCGCACGGGUGCGUAACGCGUAUGCAAUCUACCUUGUUACAGAGGGAUAGCCCAGAGAAAUUUGGAUUAAUACCUCAUAGUAUAAUUGAAUGGCAUCAUUUAAUUAUUAAAGUCACAACGGUAAAAGAUGAGCAUGCGUCCCAUUAGCUAGUUGGUAAGGUAACGGCUUACCAAGGCUACGAUGGGUAGGGGUCCUGAGAGGGAGAUCCCCCACACUGGUACUGAGACACGGACCAGACUCCUACGGGAGGCAGCAGUGAGGAAUAUUGGACAAUGGGCGCAAGCCUGAUCCAGCCAUGCCGCGUGCAGGAUGACGGUCCUAUGGAUUGUAAACUGCUUUUGUACAGGAAGAAACACUGGUUCGUGAACCAGCUUGACGGUACUGUAAGAAUAAGGAUCGGCUAACUCCGUGCCAGCAGCCGCGGUAAUACGGAGGAUCCAAGCGUUAUCCGGAAUCAUUGGGUUUAAAGGGUCCGUAGGCGGUUUGGUAAGUCAGUGGUGAAAGCCCAUCGCUCAACGGUGGAACGGCCAUUGAUACUGCUAGACUUGAAUUAUUAGGAAGUAACUAGAAUAUGUAGUGUAGCGGUGAAAUGCUUAGAGAUUACAUGGAAUACCAAUUGCGAAGGCAGGUUACUACUAAUAUAUUGACGCUGAUGGACGAAAGCGUGGGUAGCGAACAGGAUUAGAUACCCUGGUAGUCCACGCCGUAAACGAUGGAUACUAGCUGUUGGGCGCAAGUUCAGUGGCUAAGCGAAAGUGAUAAGUAUCCCACCUGGGG
rnacentral:rRNA from 1 species